rnacentral:sRNA from 1 species
GGUAAUGAUUUCCUUUGGGGGGGGCUGCGGAGGGAUCAUUACCGGAGUUUACAACUCCCAAACCCAAUGUGAACGUUACCAAACUGUUGCCUCGGCGGGAUCUCUGCCCCGGGUGCGUCGCAGCCCCGGACCAAGGCGCCCGCCGGAGGACCAACCAAAACUCUUUUUGUAUACCCCCUCGCGGGUUUUUUAUAAUCUGAGCCUUCUCGGCGCCUCUCGUAGGCGUUUCGAAAAUGAAUCAAAACUUUCAACAACGGAUCUCUUGGUUCUGGCAUCGAUGAAGAACGCAGCGAAAUGCGAUAAGUAAUGUGAAUUGCAGAAUUCAGUGAAUCAUCGAAUCUUUGAACGCACAUUGCGCCCGCCAGUAUUCUGGCGGGCAUGCCUGUCCGAGCGUCAUUUCAACCCUCGAACCCCUCCGGGGGGUCGGCGUUGGGGAUCGGCCCUCCCUUAGCGGGUGGCCGUCUCCGAAAUACAGUGGCGGUCUCGCCGCAGCCUCUCCUGCGCAGUAGUUUGCACACUCGCAUCGGGAGCGCGGCGCGUCCACAGCCGUUAAACACCCAACUUCUGAAAUGUUGACCUCGGAUCAGGUAGGAAUACCCGCUGAACUUUAGCCAAUCAUAAAGGCGGGAAGGAAUCAUUAC